GUUGAUGAUGGCAAUAUCUACAUAGUGCCAAGGGAAUAUUUUACGUCACCUCAUUUUUGCUUGGAUGAAAUUAUGUUAUUGAAUGUAUGCUAGUGGAGUUUCAAUAUCCAUAUGGGUAUUGGUUUUGCCUAUAUUUUAGGGCUAAAAGAGAUGGAGAGGAUGGUCAAUCGAGGUUUGCUAACUUCUCAUCUAGCUUUCUGAUGAUGCUUG
rnacentral:lncRNA from 1 species